rnacentral:rRNA from 1 species
AUGUACUUAUACUCGGGAGUCAGACUGCGAGUGAUAAGAUCCGUAGUCGAAAGGGAAACAGCCCAGACCACCAGUUAAGGUCCCCAAAUAUAUGUUAGGUGGAAAAGGAUGUGGGGUUGCUUAGACAACCAGGAUGUUGGCUUAGAAGCAGCCACCAUUGAAAGAGUGCGUAAUAGCUCACUGGUCGAGUGACCCCGCGCCGAAAAUGUACCGGGGCUAAACAUAUUACCGAAACUGUGGAUGAACCUCUUUAGAGGUUCGUGGUAGGAGAGCGUUCUAAGGGCGGUGAAGUCAGACCGGAAGGACUGGUGGAGCGCUUAGAAGUGAGAAUGCCGGUAUGAGUAGCGAAAGAAGGGUGAGAAUCCCUUCCACCGAAUAUCUAAGGUUUCCUGAGGAGGGCUCGUCCGCUCAGGGUUAGUCGGAACAUAAGCGGAGGCCGAUAGGCGUAGGCGAUGGACAACAGGUAGAGAUUCCUGUACCAGUGCUAAUUGUUUAACCGAUGGGGUGACACAGAAGGA